rnacentral:rRNA from 1 species
CCCUUAGAUGUUCUGGGCCGCACGCGCGCUACACUGAUGCAUUCAACGAGUUUCUUCCUGGUCCGAGAGGAAUGGGUAACCUUUUGAAAGUGCAUCGUGAUAGGGAUAGACUAUUGCAAUUUUUGGUCUUCAACGAGGAAUUCCUAGUAGACGUAGUUCAUCAGACUGCAUCGAUUACGUCCCUGCCCUUUGUACACACCGCCCGUCGCUCCUACCGAUUGAAUGCUCAGGUGAGCCAUUCGGACUUUCAUCAUGCUGGUUUCCAGUUUUGAUGAAGGAAAGUCUUGCGAACCUUAUCAUUUAGAGGAAGGAGAAGUCGUAACA